rnacentral:rRNA from 1 species
ACCUGGCUCAGGAUGAACGCUGGCGGCGUGCUUAACACAUGCAAGUCGAACGAUGAUCCGGUGCUUGCACCGGGGAUUAGUGGCGAACGGGUGAGUAACACGUGAGUAACCUGCCCUUAACUCUGGGAUAAGCCUGGGAAACUGGGUCUAAUACCGGAUAUGACUCCUCAUCGCAUGGUGGGGGGUGGAAAGCUUUAUUGUGGUUUUGGAUGGACUCGCGGCCUAUCAGCUUGUUGGUGAGGUAAUGGCUUACCAAGGCGACGACGGGUAGCCGGCCUGAGAGGGUGACCGGCCACACUGGGACUGAGACACGGCCCAGACUCCUACGGGAGGCAGCAGUGGGGAAUAUUGCACAAUGGGCGCAAGCCUGAUGCAGCGACGCCGCGUGAGGGAUGACGGCCUUCGGGUUGUAAACCUCUUUCAGUAGGGAAGAAGCGAAAGUGACGGUACCUGCAGAAGAAGCGCCGGC